rnacentral:lncRNA from 1 species
GCUCCUUCUUGAUUCUCUCUUUUCUCGAAGUGUCUCAAUUAUCCAAAUGACUCAACUCCAGGUCCCAGAGAGGCGUGAUUUUCUGCCAGCUUCUUCUGUUUGCUUGCCAUCUUUAUCUCAUUUUUUAAAAAAUUUUGUGGUAGGGUUUCACUAAAUUGUCCAGGUUGCACUCAUACUUCUGAUCCUCCUGCCUCAGUGCCCCAGAGUGCUAGGAUUACUGAGUUUCUCCUUGUCAAAUAAGAGAGGCGAAAACCAAGACCAGAGCAGAACUAGGACAAGCCUAUAUUAUGGGGAGGAUCUGCUGGGCUGUCUGCAAACAAAGGAGGAAAGAGCAAUGUGGCCAGGACAGGGAGUGUUUUUUAUAGGGGCUGGGAGAGGUUUAUAGAAACUGAGGUGUGGUUGAGUGAGGUAGUGGCUAGGGAUUGGAGGAUCCUGUGAUGUUACUAGGAGGGGCUUGUGACAUCACUAGCUGCUAGGAGGUAACAAGUAUCAGGUUACUCUUUUGGUGGAAAAGGGGGCAUGAUGGGAAGGAAAAGGCUGUUCUUUGGUGGGAAAAGCCAUAUUUUUAGCUACUUAUGAUAAGAUGUCAAGCCAACAUGAGAUCACCAGUCAGAUGAUAGUUUUGAUGUGAUGUGUAUGUUAUAUGUGUCACGUAGGGAUACUCAGACACCAAACAUAUUAAAGGAUAACAAAUUAGUUUGGAGACCAGAACUAGAAAGGUAACAGGGCUAAGAGGACAGCCAGUAUUUUGGCCCUGGCCCUCCAAGGUCAGUGAGGACCCAGGACAUGAGGGAAACUUUUCUACAGGAUCCUACAACUUUGGUGAGUCGCCCAACAACCUCUUGAGCAGGGAGAUUGCUGAACGCAGAGGACAGAAUCAACAAAUGUACAGUGUGCCAAAAGACCAUCACCAAGAGGGAAAAGUCUCCCAUGAUUUCACAAAAAGCAACACGGUCAAGCAAGGCUGGCCUGAAACUUGUGAUCCUCUUGCCUCAGCCUCCUAAGUAGCAAGCAUUACCAGUGUGUGCCACCACACCUAGCUCCUACACUUUGUUUUUUACUCUGAUUUUAAGAAAAACUAUGAAAAAACUACUAUUGAAGGCCUCAACAAGUGAAUCAAACAUUAGAAGAUCUCCAUGUAACAUUCCUAGAGUUGGUUGAUAUUUUUUCAGGAGAGGAAAAUGCAAUUGAUCUCUUUGUUCCUCUGAACAGCAUUGCAAACAUAUGUUGGAAAAUAAUGCAAGUAGCAUAAUAUGGCAGUGCACUAAUUAAAGUAUCUGUGGUCUCUGACAUCUUAAAAGUGUUCAGGAAGCAAUCUUUUACCCAGGGAUAUCAUGACAAAUUGUUUUGAAAGGCAUAUUAUGGGGG